AUUUGAUGUGGUUGCUUGGGUGGUUCCUUGGAACAAUUUAUAGAAUUAGCAAGUUCGGGAGCCCUCAACGAAGCCUCGAAGGUUUAGCAAGCUUUGAGUGUUGAUGAAUAAAGAGCGAGACAUGGGUAGAUUGCUUGAAGAUGAACAUAGUUUACCCAUAGUGGCUGCUCCUUCUAGACCUUUGAAUUUAUGUUAAGAUGUUUAUGAAUUGUAUUGACUUGUGAUCGGUUGUUUUAUGUUGGGCAACCGAUGGAUUUCCAUUUA